ACUUCCCUUUCUGAAAUAUCCUUUUUAUUAUUAUUAUUAUUAUUUCUGCUAACUCCAUCUGAAUCAUUCUCUCUUUAUAUAUUAUGCGAGCGGCUUUAGGUGAGAAAUAUGGAGGCUGAAAUGGGAAGAGAAGUAUUCCUGUUGAUAGUGUACUGCAUGUUUGGUGUAUCUGUAGUGUGUAUAUCUAAGUUUACAAAACCAGUAAAAGGGUCAAAAGGUGACUAUAUUGUCACCAUCGGCUUAUACAUCCUGUGGCCUACUGUGUUAUAUCAUCUAUAAUUAGAAUCAUCAUCAGAAUUAGGACCAAAUCAGUAAAGGUGGUUGAUUCAGAGUCGUCUCAUGCGGAGGUACAAUCUAAAGAUCAAGUAGUAUCUGGAGAGUCGACUCACCUGGAGGGGCGGCAAUCUAAAGAUGAAAUAUGUUUCUCCAUCCAUGAAUGAUCGAUCAAUUAUUGUUUAAAUUUACACACACUCUGUAUAUAAGAGUCUAUAUUUUUUAAAUUACUAUUUCUUUCAUGUUAUUGUUAAGUUCACAUCCUUAUAUAAUAAUUUUCUGAUUAAUUUA